rnacentral:rRNA from 1 species
UACGGAGGGUGCAAGCGUUAUCCGGAUUUACUGGGUUUAAAGGGGGCGUAGGUGGAUUGGUGAGUCAGUGGUGAAAUACUUUCGCUUAACGAAGGAACUGCCAUUGAUACUACCAGUCUUGAAUACAGUGGAGGUGGGCGGAAUGCGUCAUGUAGCGGUGAAAUGCUUAGAUAUGACGCAGAACACCAAUUGCGAAGGCAGCUUGCUACACUGUUAUUGACACUGAGGCACGAGAGCGUGGGGAUCAAACAGG